GCCGGGUGUGGUGGCUCACACCUGUAAUCCUAGCACUUUGGGAGGCUUAGGUGGGUGGAUCACUUGAGGUCAGGAGUUCCAGGCCAGCCUGGCCAAUAUGGUGAAACCCCAUCUCUU
rfam:Gorilla gorilla gorilla genomic chromosome, chr19, whole genome shotgun sequence